rnacentral:rRNA from 1 species
GAUGAAUGCUGGCGGCGUGCCUAACACAUGCAAGUCGAGCGGCAGCGAGGGGUGCUUGCACCCUGUCGGCGAGCGGCGGACGGCUGAGUAACGCGUGGGAAUCUACCCUAAAGUGAGGGAUAACCGCCCGAAAGGGUGGCUAAUACCGCAUAUGAUCUUCGGAUUAAAGGAUUUAUCCGCUUUAGGAAGAGCCCGCGUUAGAUUAGGUAGUUGGUAGGGUAAUGGCCUACCAAGCCAACGAUCUAUAGCUGGUCUGAGAGGAUGAUCAGCCAGACUGGAACUGAGACACGGUCCAGACUCCUACGGGAGGCAGCAGUGAGGAAUCUUCCACAAUGGGCGAAAGCCUGAUGGAGCAACGCCGCGUGAAGGAUGAAGGCCUUCGGGUUGUAAACUUCUUUUAUGAGUGAAGAAUAUGACGGUAACUCAUGAAUAAGCACCGGCUAACUACGUGCCAGCAGCCGCGGUCAUACGUAGGGUGCAAGCAUUAUCCGGAGUGACUGGGCGUAAAGAGUUGCGUAGGCGGUUUAAUAAGUGAAUAGUGAAACCUGGUGGCUCAACCAUACAGACUAUUAUUCAAACUGUUAAACUCGAGAGUAGUAGAGGUAACUGGAAUUUCUAGUGUAGGAGUGAAAUCCGUAGAUAUUAGAAGGAACACCAAUGGCGUAGGCAGGUUACUGGACUAUUUCUGACGCUAAGGCACGAAAGCGUGGGGAGCGAACUGG